UAGUCCACGCCGUAAACGAUGGUUACUAGCUGUUUGGAAUUUAUUCUGAGUGGCUAAGCGAAAGUGAUAAGUAACCCACCUGGGGAGUACGUUCGCAAGAAUGAAACUCAAAGGAAUUGACGGGGGCCCGCACAAGCGGUGGAGCAUGUGGUUUAAUUCGAUGAUACGCGAGGAACCUUACCAGGGCUUAAAUGUAGGUUGCAUAGAGUAGAGAUAUUCUUUUCUUCGGACUACUUACAAGGUGCUGCAUGGUUGUCGUCAGCUCGUGCCGUGAGGUGUCAGGUUAAGUCCUAUAACGAGCGCAACCCCUGUUGUUAGUUACCAGCGCGUUAAGGCGGGGACUCUAGCAAGACUGCCGGUGCAAACCGUGAGGAAGGUGGGGAUGACGUCAAAUCAUCACGGCCCUUACGUCCUGGGCUACACACGUGCUACAAUGGUAGGUACAGAGAGCAGCCACAACGCGAGUUGGAGCGAAUCUACAAAACCUAUCACAGUUCGGAUCGGAGUCUGCAACUCG
rnacentral:rRNA from 1 species